rnacentral:rRNA from 1 species
UACCAGCACCCCGAGUGGUCGGGACGAUUAUUGGGCCUAAAGCAUCCGUAGCCGGUCAUGCAAGUCCUCCGUUAAAUCCACCUGCUUAACCAGAUGGGCUGCGGAGGAUACUACAAGGCUAGGAGGCGGAAGAGGCAAGCGGUACUCAGUGGGUAGGGGUAAAAUCCUCUGAAUCCAUUGAAGACCACCAGUGGCGAAGGCGG